GAGUUUGAUCCUGGCUCAGGACGAACGCUGGCGGCGUGCUUAACACAUGCAAGUCGAACGGGAUGAUCUUAAAGCUUGCUUUUAGAGAAUCUAGUGGCAAACGGGUGAGUAACACGUAGGCAACCUGCCGACAGGAUGGGGACAACAUUCCGAAAGGAAUGCUAAUACCGAAUGAAGCGGAGGAGAGGCAUCUCUCCUGCGUGAAAGAUGGCCUCUAUUUAUAAGCUAUCACCUGUCGAUGGGCCUGCGUCUGAUUAGCUGGUUGGUGAGGUAACGGCUCACCAAGGCGACGAUCAGUAGCCGGUCUGAGAGGAUGAACGGCCACAUUGGGACUGAGACACGGCCCAGACUCCUACGGGAGGCAGCAGUGGGAAAUCUUCCGCAAUGGGCGCAAGCCUGACGGAGCAACGCCGCGUGAGUGAAGAAGGUCUUCGGAUCGUAAAGCUCUGUUGAUGGGGACGAAUGUGCCUAAUGCGAAUAGUAUUAGGUAAUGACGGUACCUAUCGAGGAAGCCACGGCUAACUACGUGCCAGCAGCCGCGGUAAUACGUAGGUGGCGAGCGUUGUCCGGAAUCAUUGGGCGUAAAGGGAGCGCAGGCGGGCAUGUAAGUCUUUCUUAAAAGUGCGGGGCUCAACCCCGUGAUGGGAAAGAAACUACAUGUCUUGAGUACAGGAGAGGAAAGCGGAAUU
rnacentral:rRNA from 1 species